AAACUUUCAACAACGGAUCUCUUGGCUCUGGCAUCGAUGAAGAACGCAGCGAAAUGCGAUAAGUAAUGCGAAUUGCAGAAUUCCGUGAGUCAUCGAAUCUUUGAACGCACAUUGCGCCCUCCGGUAUUCCGGAGGGCAUGCCUGUCCGAGCGUCAUU
rnacentral:rRNA from 1 species